UGCAAGUUGAGCGAGGCCGGUAGCAAUACCGAGUCGAGCGGCGAACGGGUGAGUAACGCGUGGAUAACCUGCCCUUUAGUGGGGAAUAACCCGGGGAAACUCGGGCUGAUACCGCAUAAGACCGAGAGGUGAAAGCGGGGUCGCAAGAUCUCGUGCUAAUGGAGGGGUCCGCGUUCGAUUAGCUAGUUGGUAGGGUAAUGGCCUACCAAGGCGACGAUCGAUAGCCGGCCUGAGAGGGUGAUCGGCCACACUGGAACUGAGACACGGUCCAGACUCCUACGGGAGGCAGCAGUGGGGAAUUUUGCGCAAUGGGCUAACGCCUGACGCAGCAACGCCGCGUGGAGGAUGAAGGUCUUUGGAUUGUAAACUCCUGUCAGCAGGGAAAAAGGGAGGGGACCUAAUACGUCCUUGACUUGAUUGUACCUGCAGAGGAAGCCCCGGCUAACUCUGUGCCAGCAGCCGCGGUAAUACAGAGGGGGCAAGCGUUAUUCGGAAUUAUUGGGCGUAAAGGGCGCGUAGGCGGCUUUUCAAGUGACGGGUGAAUCCCUCGGCUUAACCGAGGAACUGCCUGUCAGACUGGAAGGCUUGAGACCGGGAGAGGUGAGUGGAAUUCCCAGUGUAGCGGUGAAAUGCGUAGAUAUUGGGAGGAACACCAGUGGCGAAGGCGGCUCACUGGACCGGAACUGACGCUGAGGCGCGAAAGCGUGGGGAGCAAACAGGAUUAGAUACCCUGGUAGUCCACGCCCUAAACGAUGUCA
rnacentral:rRNA from 1 species